GCCAGGAUGGCGAAAUUGGUAGACGCGCAGGAUUUAGGAUCCUGUGGCCGCAAGGCCUUGGAGGUUCGAUUCCUCUUCCUGGCA
rnacentral:tRNA from 1 species